rnacentral:rRNA from 1 species
CUACGGGGGGCUGCAGUGAGGAAUUUUGCGCAAUGGGGGAAACCCUGACGCAGCAACGCCGCGUGAGCGAAGAAGGCCUUCGGGUCGUAAAGCUCUGUCAAGUGGGAAAAAAAUUCUUUGAUGAACAGUCAAAGGACUUGAUGGUACCACUGGAGGAAGCACCGGCUAACUCCGUGCCAGCAGCCGCGGUAAUACGGAGGGUGCAAGCGUUGUUCGGAAUUACUGGGCGUAAAGAGCGUGUAGGCAGUUUGACAAGUCAGAUGUGAAAGCCCCGGGCUCAACCCGGGAAGUGCAUUUGAAACUGUUUCACUAGAGUAUGGGAGAGGAGAUUGGAAUUCCUGGUGUAGAGGUGAAAUUCGUAGAUAUCAGGAGGAACACCCGUGGCGAAGGCGAUUCUCUGGACCAAUACUGACGCUGAGACGCGAAAGCGUGGGGAGCAAACAGGAUUAGAUACCCGCGUAGUC